rnacentral:rRNA from 1 species
UGGGGAAUAUUGGACAAUGGGCGAAAGCCUGAUCCAGCCAUGCCGCGUGUGUGAAGAAGGUCUUCGGAUUGUAAAGCACUUUAAGUUGGGAGGAAGGGCAUUAACCUAAUACGUUAAUGUUUUGACGUUACCGACAGAAUAAGCACCGGCUAACUCUGUGCCAGCAGCCGCGGUAAUACAGAGGGUGCAAGCGUUAAUCGGAAUUACUGGGCGUAAAGCGCGCGUAGGUGGUUUGUUAAGUUGGAUGUGAAAUCCCCGGGCUCAACCUGGGAACUGCAUUCAAAACUGACUGACUAGAGUAUGGUAGAGGGUGGUGGAAUUUCCUGUGUAGCGGUGAAAUGCGUAGAUAUAGGAAGGAACACCAGUGGCGAAGGCGACCACCUGGACUAAUACUGACACUGAGGUGCGAAAGCGUGGGGAGCAAACA